rnacentral:rRNA from 1 species
AAUAGGGGAGCCGGAGGGAAACCGAGUCUUAACCGGGCGUUAAGUUGCAGGGUAUAGACCCGAAACCCGGUGAUCUAGCCAUGGGCAGGUUGAAGGUUGGGUAACACUAACUGGAGGACCGAACCGACUAAUGUUGAAAAAUUAGCGGAUGACCUGUGGCUGGGGGUGAAAGGCCAAUCAAACCGGGAGAUAGCUGGUUCUCCCCGAAAGCUAUUUAGGUAGCGCCUCGUGAAUUCAUCUCCGGGGGUAGAGCACUGUUUCGGCUAGGGGGCCAUCCCGGCUUACCAACCCGAUGCAAACUGCGAAUACCGGAGAAUGUUAUCACGGGAGACACACGGCGGGUGCUAACGUCCGUCGUGAAGAGGGAAACAACCCAGACCGCCAGCUAAGGUCCCAAAGUCAUGGUUAAGUGGGAAACGAUGUGGGAAGGCCCAGACAGCCAGGAUGUUGGCUUAGAAGCAGCCAUCAUUUAAAGAAAGCGUAAUAGCUCACUGGUCGAGUCGGCCUGCGCGGAAGAUGUAACGGGGCUAAACCAU